rnacentral:rRNA from 1 species
CAGCCGCCGCGGGAAAACGAAGGGUGCAAGCGUUACUCGGAAUUACUGGGCGUAAAGCGUGCGUAGGUGGUGGUUUAAGUCCGUUGUGAAAGCCCUGGGCUCAACCUGGGAAUUGCAGUGGAUACUGGGUCACUAGAGUGUGGUAGAGGAUAGUGGGAUUUCCGGUGUAGCAGUGAAAUGCGUAGAGAUCGGAAGGAACAUCUGUGGCGAAGGCGACUAUCUGGGCCAACACUGACACUGAGGCACGAAAGCGUGGGGAGCAAACAGGAUUAGAUACCCCUGUAGUCCCUGUCUCUUAUAC